CGCAAAAUAUGACAAAAGAAACUUUUGCUCGAAGUGUUCUUUAGAGGUCACACCCUCAUUAACUCCAUCUUGAAAAAUAUCAAUACAUCUAUGCAUAUAGUAGGUGUAUAUUAUCAAACAUUAAUCAAAGACAAGAAAAGAGAACAAAAAAAACAACAUUCUGCUAAUCACACGUGUAAGUGUUGUGUCAUAAUAAGCGCAGUUUCAUCACAAUCUAUAGAGCAUGUGGAGUUACAGUACGGUUAUUAUUAUCCAUCCAGAGCCACCUUAAAUACGCCUUAAUAUAUAUGUUGGUGAAACGUUUACUUAACUACGAAGCUGAUUCGUCGGCGGCACGCUUCCAGGGCGCCCUGACGGGGCGAGCCGGGCGGCGGCGAGGGUGGCGGAGGCAGUCGUAGAGCCGUCGCAGGAAGUCGACCACCGGCUGGAUCCGCGACAGCAGCACGAACACCGGCCCCAGCACACCGCCAGUCACCGUCACGAUCGCCACGGGCUCCAUCGAUCUCUCUCACCUCAGCUGAUCAAACUAAAUUUAUAAGGAAAAAAAAAUUAAUUUGCAGCUUUAGCUCUGCCUAGGUGAUCGAAAUGAGAGUGGAAAGGUGAUGUGAAUUUUUUAUAUAUAGGAGUGGAGGGGAGGGUGGGAGGUUAAAUUAACCAAGCCGUGGGUGCGGAUACUGCGCUUUUGCUUCCACCUCCUCCGUGUCCACCCCACCAAAAAAACGGCUAUUUUUGGGAGAGACUAGUUUAUGGUGUCCAGCAAACAUCCUAUUAUCGUGUGAAUAAUUUGAUGUUGUUCACUCCGGUCAAAAAUAUAUUAUUGUUUAGGAAUAUAUUUGGUCAAAUUUAUAAAAUUGCAACAAACAAUUAUUUUUGAAAUGUUUGUUAUAAAUACAAAACAAAUGAUAUAUAUAGUUAUAAAUUUAUAUUAACAUUGAAUUUAUUGUCAAAAUUUACGAAACUUUUAAGUAAAUACUACCUUCAUUUCCUAAUGUAAAAUGUUUGACUUUUCUGGAUGUAACGUUUGAUCAUUUAUCCUAUUCAAAAAUUUAGUACAAAUAUAAAAAAUGAUAAGUCAUACUUAAAGUUCUUUUGAUAAUAAAGUAAAUCACAAACCAAAUAAAUAAUAUUUCCAUAAUUUUUUGAAUAAGAUAAAUGAUCAAACAUUGUAAACAAAAAAGUCAAUCAUCUUACAUUAUGAAACGGUAUAAAACGGAGGGAGUAGCAAAUAUUUUUGACCAGAUGGAGUAUAACUAUUAUCUCAUGAUAAAGAUUCUACUAGCGCCUUGACGGUGUUUAUGGUUGCCAGGGACAUAUUAAUUUACUGCUCCCUCCAUCUAGUCAAUAUAUGUAAUGCCGUUUUUUUAAAACUUAAAUAAUUUUGACAAAAUUUAGCAUGUAAGAAGGAAGUACUUAAUUUCAUACUACAAGUUUUUUAGGUUUAUCCUAAUUAAGUCAAACAUUUGAUCAAAUUUAUAAAAUAAUACACUUAUAUCCACAAUACUAAAUUAGUUUCUUUAAACCCAUCAAUGAAUAUGUUUUUAUAGAAUAAUUAUUUUGUAUUAAAUAUGAUGUUAUAAACAAUAUUUUCCUACGAAAAUGAUCAAGCUUGAAAAAGAAUGACUCAACUUUGAGAUGUAAUUAAGAUAUCAUGAUCCAGAAUCUCUUACAUAUAAGUUUAAGUUUAAGAACACAAACAUAUAUACUUGUUUUCAAUAAUGCCAAGCCAUUGGUCAGUAUACCAAGAUGUGGCUGAUCCUGCAAAAGUGGGAGGCCUUGUUUUCAUGAACUCUGCAAAUUUGUUACAACGGUGUACUGAUGAGGUCGCAUCAUGACUUUGGUGCAAUUGUUAACUAUCUGUUCCUUCGUCAUAAGUUUUGUAGCAAGAAACUGAUCUAUAUCCUUGAAUAAGUGUCACUGGCUCAACACAAGGACAGAAAUAUGGUUGCUAAUAACCAUUGACAUUCUUGCUUUGCUGCAUAGUAGUCCAAAUCAGACAUUGCAACAGAGAAUAGCUAGAGAAUUUCAUUAAAGGUAACUAAAGUGCGGGUCAUCACAGUAGUCCUCCUGCAUCUACAAUUUGUAAUUAUCUCUCCUUUCUGCAGUCGUGCAAAUCUUGGCAAGGCCGGAGUCAACAAAGACUCAAGGAGACAAUUGAUGGUGGAGGUGGCAAUGUGUUGCUUCUAGUGCUGAAGUUGGUGGUUGAUCUUGAAUAGGGUGGACCUAAGGUGUGCGAGCGUUUUGUUAGUUCUUCAGGUUACCUUGUUAAUGUUGAAGAAGAUUGUGUGACCAGAAAAGCUAGAUGUAUUCCAUUCUCAGCUAUAGAAGUUGUAUAACAAUUUUAUUCUCAGAGUACUUCAGGUGAGUCAGCCAUCCACAAGCCAUAAGACCACCAUUCACAAGAACCUCACCUUGGGCAAUAGAGAUUUGAGCACAGCAAAUUUAUGAGUGAUGGUUUGCCAUAUAAAGAUCAAGUCUGAGUGUGGGUGUGUAUACUGUUCUGUACUAAAAAAGUUUGUAGCCUAUGCUUCUGAACAAUUUACCAAAUCUGAAUAAUUUCAGAUAUCUAAUGGGAUCAAACAUGAUCUGAUGAGUAAUGGCACGACUUGAAUUCUCACCUUCAACCUCUCUAGUUAAACCUCCUUUUUUCUCUCCAGCUUCUGCCCCAAGCUUACGGCAGAAAGAACAAAACGAUAAUCAAAUAAACAACAGGACCAGUGGAUGGCUGGCUAAAUCUUCCAGUUGAAUCAAAACGAACCCUAACAAACACAUUGAGAAGUAGAUUUGGAUAGCUCGCCUGGUGGUCCGGCGAUCGACCUACGAAAUUGGUUUACGGGGAACUGAACACGAGGAUCCCCAGUACGUGGCUGAGAGGAUCCACAACGCCGCGCCUCCACGCGUCGAUCGGGAAAAGCAAAAAGUCUUAGACAAGCACAAGCACAAGCAGAGGGCGGUAUAUAGGUCGUCGGGGCGGUGCUCGAUCGGUGACGGAGCGCCGAACGUACGUUGGCCGGCGGC
rnacentral:lncRNA from 1 species